UUUCCGUAGGUGAACCUGCGGAAGGAUCAUUAUUGUAUAACCGAGGUGCGAGGGCUGUCGCUGACCCGAAAGGUCGUGCACACCCGAGUGCCCUCACACACAUUCAUCUCACCCCUAUGUGCACCACCGCGUGGGUCCCCCUUUGGCUUGUUCGGAGGGGGGCUUACGUUUUCACACAAACUUUGUAUGCAGUGUAGAAUGUAUUUUUUGUUUUUGCGAUCACGCAAUCAAUACAACUUUCAACAACGGAUCUCUUGGCUCUC
rnacentral:misc_RNA from 1 species